ACUCCCCUUUGAUGAUUUCCUAUGGUAAAAUAUGCCGUCUUCAAAGUGAACUCCUGUCCUUUGUCACUUUGGAAUUCCUCCUGUACGAGAGAAUGAUUUUCUAGUCGAAUUGCGACGUCUACCAGUGAGUGUGCGUUAAAAAGGACUGAAGUCAAUCAACCCAAACGUCGGACGUUGUUUUCCUUUGGGCAGGAGACUACGGUCCAUCCAGACCCACACCUCCCGCCACCUGAACAGUUUUUUCCACUCGGCCAUCAGACACACAAACAAUAACAAGAUCUGAUAGCUCAGUUACAGCUCAUGUUAUUCUAUUCUGUGUUAUAUGUCUUUUAUGUUGCACAAUUGCGCCAGGUAAAAUUCCUAGUUUGUUAACCCGUUCUCAAACAAUGGCAAUAAAAACUUUUCUGAUUCUGA